rnacentral:antisense_RNA from 1 species
CUUGACCGAUCCCAGCCACAGUGGCCGGUCGGGGUCGCGGCCCUGGCCGUACGUGGCGAGCAGCGCCCGGGCCUC